UGAGGAAUAUUGGUCAAUGGGCGGAAGCCUGAACCAGCCAAGUCGCGUGAGGGAAGACGGUCCUACGGAUUGUAAACCUCUUUUGUCGGGGAGCAAAGAGGCCACGCGUGGCAAGAUGAGCGUACCCGAAGAAAAAGCAUCGGCUAACUCCGUGCCAGCAGCCGCGGUAAUACGGAGGAUGCAAGCGUUAUCCGGAUUCAUUGGGUUUAAAGGGUGCGUAGGCGGCUUGGUAAGUCAGCGGUGAAAUUCCAGUGCUCAACAUUGGCCGUGCCGUUGAUACUGCUGGGCUUGAAUGCGGAUGCCGUGGGAGGAAUGUGUGGUGUAGCGGUGAAAUGCAUAGAUAUCACACAGAACACCGAUUGCGAAGGCAUCUCACGAAUCCGCAAUUGACGCUGAGGCACGAAAGUGUGGGGAUCAAACAGGAUUAGAUACCCUGGUAGU
rnacentral:rRNA from 1 species